GGGCGGGUAGCGUAGUGGUCAGCGCGUUCCUAAGCGUUUCAGCGUUGUUUUCUUCACCAUUGAUUACCUAUGCAUUACUCCAGCGUUUAGCGAAAGACCUGGGUUCGAAUCCCAGCCCGCCCA